UUCAUUAUUCUUAUUUUUUCGUUAUGAUUUUUCCUCACUUGUUUUUCGUCCAUUAUUCGGACAAGUCCUUCUUUUUUUAGGGGUAAUACCCACUAUAUAGUUUAGUUACGUAACAGCCUUUUUUCCAAACCUCGUGUUAGGUACCUUUUUUAUGUUUUUGGCUGUGAUCAACUCUGGUUUCUUGUCUAUUGUCUGGUUGUCGCUUUACCAGCAAUAAAACAACUUUGGCACCUAGUGUCUGUUGGUCCAGCAUUUGUAAAAGGUGCAUGGUGUCUGUUACUUGUUAGCUGUGUUGUGUCGGCCACGUAAGUUAUUAUUUUAUUGUAAUUGUGGGAGCUGCAGCUCAAUAUUGAUUAUAAAUAUUUUUUACCUCAGUAUUAUUUGUAUUAUGUUAUUAAGGCCGUCUGAGGCAUAUUAUAUAUAUUAUUUUAUUAAGGCCGUCUAAGGCAUAUUAUAUAUAUUAUUAUAUUAAGGCCGUCUGAGGCAUGUUAAAUAUGUUGUUAUAAAAAGGCCGUCUAAGGCAUAUUAUAUAUAUUGUUAUAAAAAGGCCGUCUGAGGCAUAUUAUUUAUUAUUUUAUUAAGGCCACCUGAGGCAAAACUCAUAUUAAUUAGUUCAUAAAUUGUUCCUUUUUUCUUUCUCUAUUUGAUCUCUAAAUCAACACAUUUUGUUACCACUACAUUAUAACCUUUAUAUAUAUUUAUUUAUAUUCAUUCUUAAAUUAUAUUGCCAACCAGGCAGUCCAUUUGUUUAUAUUAUUUGCAUUUAUUUAAUUAUUUAAUUUUACCUAUUCUUUAUACAGUCCAUUCACAUUUUAUUUAUUGGCGACAAGUUUCUUCCACUAUUUAUUAUUGUGGUCAACUUAUGCGCCCACACUUUGAAUCUUAAUUUUCACCAAAGUACGUAUAAUAAUAUUAUGGUCUAUGAAUACCAUUAUUAUUGUAAUUAUAUUUUUAUUUUCCUGUUUAGUGAUAAUAAUAAAUAAUAGUAAUACACGAUUUUUUAAAUAGUACUUGUUGGCUCGCCUUCAGCUUUAAUAAUAAUAAUAGAUUAAUGGGCCUUAGCGGCCGGGAGGGUAGGUAACUUAUUGCACUACCGUCCCAUGAAUAUAAUAAAAGGCAAUGGUUGUAUUGGAUUACAUAAAAUUUGUAUAAUAAUAAUUUGACCACUUGGUCCAACAAAUGAAUAACAUUAUAGUUACAAUUUAUCACAGACCAGUAGGGGUAAUAUCAGUCAAUCUUAAUAAUAUCAUACAACAAUAGUAUACUAAAAUAAUACUAAUAAUAAUAAUAAUGACCCGUCGGUCAAAUGACUAGUUAUAAUAAAUAUGAGAUAAUAUGGUACACCACAUACCCUUGGGGUUAUGGCGUCUUGAGGUGCCGGGAUCCGUAUAAUAAUAAUCAGUUUAAAUACAAUAAAAAGUACAAGAUUGAUCCCACACACACUCAAGAACGCCGCUAACCUCAACACGAAGAAACGAAGAACACUCACAAUACACACUGCUACAGCGGACACACAACUCAACAAACCACGAGAAACACAGUCUUCUGCUGGUAAUCAAUGACCGCCCUAAACUAGGGGAAAAACAAUUAAAUGAUUGGCAAUAAAUGCGCGAACGAUAUUUACCAGACAGAAGAAUUCACAAAACACAAGAAAAACGUGGUUUGACAGCUGCAGCAGGAACAAGAAAAACAGUAUGGCACGGGCGCACGGCUUGCUGCUUGCUGGAUAGUGGACAGCGGACAAAAGUAAAGUGCACGAAUUUACAUAUAAGUAUUAAAGUAUAUAACGGACAGGACUACAAAAAUAAAAAUAAAUAGACAAUGAUAUAGUUUCAAAUAAUUUGUAUUAUUAUUUUGUAUUUGUUUGAUUAUUUAAAUACAAUAAUUAUACAUAAAACCAGA